CAUGUGCCCUGACUGGGAAUAAAACCGUGACCUCCUGGUUCAUAGGUCAAUGCUCAACCAGUGAGCCACGCCAGCUGGGCACACUCUUUUUAUUGCAUCAAAGAACGUUUCCUUGUCCACUUCCUCUCUUAGCGUGAGCUCAAGGCAGCCCAGAUGCCUUGGUUCGAGCAGCAGCUCUGCCACUUGCCAGCUGUGUGAUCUUGGCUGAGCCUCACAACCUCUGUCUGUUUCCUGGGCUAUGAAAAGGUGUUGAUGAUGAUGAUGGUGCUUUCCUCCCAGGACCGUUGUGGAGAGUAGGAUAUACGCCUUGGACACACACUGACCAUUCCUGACCAUGGUCGAAGCCACAGAUGCAGGUGGGAGGAGCCACAGAUGAGACCCUGGCCCAGUGCUGUCAGUGGAACCAUCUGUGAUGACGGAAAUGUUCUGUAUUUGCUCCAUCCAGCACCAUCACCCCAACCAGAUGUGUGCAUUGAACAUUUGCAACUAAGGAACCGAAUUUUAAGUUCCUUCAGGCCAUUUUAAGAAAGAGCAAAGUUUUCACAUAUGUCUUUGUUGUUUUACGUUUGUUUUAUUCAUGAACAUAAAGAAAAAUACCAACUAACAUGCAUGUUGGAACUGCCCAUGGAGAACUGGUUUGUAAACAUUUGCUGACACCCCACUGCUUAAGUCCUGGCUUGGCUAGGUGCUGGGAGGUGACUCUGUUUCACACGCUUCUCUCUCUACACCCCAGUGUCACCACCUGUAAAAUGCAGACUUAACGUGUCACAUCUGCUGACAGUUUGAUAAGACCAGGAGCAUCCAUUUCCUCUUUCUAAUGCGCCUUCCCCGUGACUAGAGGUGAGAAAUGUAGAACCUCCAUUACAGACUCCCUUGCAGCUAGAGCUCUGGGGUGAAUUCCAUUCUGCCUAGUAAUCGCAUUCACAAGAGACCAGA